AUUCGUCGAAGGGAAAAAAAAGGUAAUGAGAUGGUGCCAUCAAGAAGUUUUCUACGAACGUAGUAGCAAUUAACUUCGAUAUGUUUGGCCUAAAAUUACACUAUUGCAUAAACACCGGAUUUGACGCAAUCUGAAUGGCGCGAAAAAAAAUGGUGUUGGGGUCUUCAAAUGAAACCUGCGAUCAGAAAGUCACCAACGGAGCCAUACAAUCUCUCCAGUAGUGUAUGCCAUGGCACGGUACUCCGCUUCGGCACUGGAAAACUGUCUCUUGCUUUUUGCUCUUCCAAGAUAGUUGAGAGUCUCCCCAAAAAAGACAGAAGCCUGUAGUUGAGCACCUAUCUGAAGGAUCUCCGGCCCAAUCGGCAUCAGUAGUUGCACGCAACUCUAAAGAGGACGAUGACGGAAAAAACGACGGCUCGAAAAAAGGUACCUCGAAUAUAUCUAAGAAUCCGAUGAACUGCUGCAAGGUGAACUGACCGGGGGGCAGCCAUGAAAGGCUGACUUUCUUAGGAACAGCCAAGGCAAUAUCUGGGCGAGAGAUCGUCAGAUAAACCAAACUGCCGACCAACUGUCUGUACUGCGUCGGAUCAGAUAAUGGUGAGCCAUCAGUCGGACGGAGUUUUACGUUAAGCUCCAAGGGAGUGUCAACAGUCUUCUCAUCAUUGAGUUGAGCUCGAGUGAUCAAGUCAUGACGUUAUUUGAUCUGAUAUACCAAAUAUCCACGAGGAGAAUGUGCGACCUCCAAGCCAAGAAAAUACUUAGGGUGACCUUCAUCCUUCAUGGCAAAUAAUUGAUGAAGGCGACACUUGAUCAGCGAUAUGGUAACGGAGUAAUCACCAGUAAGUUUCAUAUCAUCAACAUACAACAACAGAAUAGCACGUCCUCGAGGAGAAACUGAUACGAACAUGGCCGAAUCAUGAUCACUCCGAGCAAACCCUGCCUGGAUAACCACUGUGCUGAACUUCUAAAACCGACGCUCGAGGGGCUUGAAGAGACCAUAGAUCGCUUUGCGUAAGGGGCAGACAAGACAAGAGGAGAAGGAGCGGAAUGUUGUCCAGGGGGAGGCUGCAUGUACACCUCCUCAUGAAGAUCACCAUGGUUGAAGGCAUAUUUUGAACGUCUAACUGAUAGAGUGGCCAACCGCUGCAACGGCAAUAAUGGUUCUUACACUAGUCAUCUUAGCCACAGGCGAAAAAGUCUCCUCAUAGUCUAUGCCAUACUCCCAGGAGUAACCUCUGGCGACCAGCCUAGCUUUGUAUCUCUCAACAGACCCAUCAGAUCGCGUCUUAAAUAAACCCAACGGCAACCAAUAGCAACCUUACCAGACGGAAGAGGAACAAGAUCCCAAAUGCCAUUCUGCUGAAGGGCAGUAAGUUCUUCAGACAUUGCCUGUUGCCAACAUGGAAUAGCGGCUGCCCGCCUCCCUAGUUGACUGAGGCUCAUGGAAAGAGUGAACAGCAGCUAAAAAGGCACGAUGACGAGGAGUGAACAAGUGAGAUUCAACGAAACGAAUAGGCUGAGUGAAAAUGCGAGAAGACCUACGAACCUGUGGCUUAGUCGGAGGAUCGACAACCGGAGAUGUCUGAUCUGGCGAGGCCGCAAGCUGCUGUGAAUGCCUAUCAAAAACCGAUAUAGGAAUGUCACCGGGAGCCCUGCGAGAGUAGACUAUCGUAAUUGGGGGACGAUGGACACGAGACACGUCGAGGAGGGUGAGAGUCAUCAGCAGAUGGCAAAGACAAAGUCUCAGGAGAGGAAAGUAGAAUAGAGGUGGACUCGGGACCCUACAGAAGCUACGGCAGAGGAAGAUGAAGGAUAAAACAAAACAUAAUGCUUUCGACGAAAGAACACAUGUCUAGAGACCUGAAGGCGACGAGAUUGAGGAUCAACACAAACCCUUUUGUUUGCCAAAAUAGGAGCCUGACCUCAAAUAUCAGAAUGAAUUAUCUCAGACGGGGGCAGUAGUUACAGUGUCACUAGACUGAAACGGGAGGGCCAAGUGUUUUGCCAACUUGCAACCCAUACAUGAAGACACAUCAAACGAGUCAGAGGACUGAAAACGAAAAUCACCUAAACACCCUAACUUUGCAAGAUGACGAAGACGAGAGACAGAAAUCUGUACCAGACGCACGCUGAUGCCACAACUGAGAUGCUGAAAAAGGUGGCCCUAUAUCUGCAGCUGCGAGAGAAGUAGUAGGUGGAUGAUGACAAAACUCCAAGUGGAACAGGCGGCCAGCUUUACGGCCUCUCCCAAUCAGCUUCCCGGUUGCCCCGGUUCGUAGGUCCUGCACAACGCAACCAGAUUUAGAGAAGGUUACAUUACUUUCUUAUUUUUUAUUAACCACUUGGCCAACAGACAUAUAAAUUUUUUGAAAUUCAAGACGUUAGAUAAGGGCAGAUUUUUGAGACGAACGAAUAGAACCAACACAAGAUCUAAUAAAGAUCCAUCAGCAGUGAAGAUAGAGGGGUUACCUGAAAGAGGAGCAGUGCCAUGUAACAGAGAGCCAGCCAUUACCAGUCAUAUGAUUCGAGGCACCUCCAUCAAAUAACCAUAAGUGAGACCCAUACCAGAGAUAGAGGUCGAAGAUAAAGCUUGGACAAGGUGAGGGAGAAGUUGCUGUAUGAGGUCCAGUGACACCAUAGUUGGACAGAUGGAGAUGGUGCGGAGGACAACCCAAUGGCAACGGAGACAACAUCCGGGGAAGAAGUCACUGCAGGCGUAGCUGUACCUUGAGUUGGGGAUGAGCGAGGUGAGAAUGAUUUCUUCCGUUUGGCAGGACAAUUGAACUUCAUGUGCCCCAACUCCUUACAAAAAUGACAGCGAAUAGAUUACAUAUCUUGACGAGCAGGCGAAGCAGAUGUCACUGGUCGAGAACCACGAGCCCCCAUUUAGUAUUGGGGGGAUAAGGUGGACAUAGCUUCUAUUCCCGGAGACAGUAUACAUAGUGAUGAGAAAGCUGUUCCUUUUGUUCCCGAAAAGCCUUAGCUUGUUUGCCGAAGAGAAGGCUCUUCAAGAGAAGGUCAAAGUGAAAAAAACUAAUAAUCAAAAUCAUGAGCAUAGCGAGAAGGAAAGGAGGGUUCAGCCACUAGAUGGAUAUUCUGUUUCCCCCCACUUUUCUUGUCUCGACAAUUAGAGUACCUUGCCAUAAGGUUUUUCACAGUUGGAUUGAUCGACUUGCUGCACGCUUCUCUUUUGCUUUCCUUACCUCGCUUAGAGCUCACUUCCUUGCUUUCCAAACUCCAAUACUGGAACUAGCACUUUUGCCGGGAAUCUUCUCUUCUCCAUUGGAUGAAGACCCUUUGACCUCAACCUGACAAAAACUCCUUUCCCCGUUAGCCCAACUCAUGUCGACAAAAAAGGAAAAAAGAGCAAGAAAGUGGGGACCCUCAAAUCUUCUCCAUCUUUCUACUCCAAUCCAAAGACCAGCUCAUUCAUCUAGCUGUCUGCCCGGUUAACUCUUCAUUUUGAUUUGUAUGAACUCGCUCCAAUUCUGUGCUGGAGAGAAGAAAGCUUUGGCGAUGUCUCAUCAAGCACUAACUCUCCAUGGGUUUUCAUGGGAGACUUCAACAUCAUCAAAUCCUAAAAUGAAAAGGAGGUCAUCGCAUUCCCUUCUCUUUACUUGAGAAAUUUCAUAAUUGUCUCGUUGAAUGCGAUAUGAAAGAUAUUAAAGCCAUUUGACAUGCCUUCACCUGGAGCAAGAAACAUUUUUUAUAGGAUCCUCUGCAAGCUUGAUCGUAUUUUGGGUAAUCUCGAGUGGAUGCAGCGAUUUCCUGACUCAUAAGCCGAAAAAAACUCCAUGGACUUGCACAGAACAGAAGGAGUUUUCACGGCAGGCUUUCAGAACUUGCAAAAGAGUCCCUGAACUAGACCUGCAACACUGACUUUCUCUCUCUACCACCGUCACUGCCUUCCGACUGUCACUAUCCCUUUUGCAACGGAAAGUGAUCUCUCUGGCCGGAUCAAAACAGAAAGAGUGUCUUUUAUCACUAUGAGCUUUCCGCUUUCACUAGACUGACUGGACUUGCUUGAAAGAACUAGCUCUACUUCCGGCUUUAAGGAGCUUGACUUUAAAGUUGUUUACUUAAAGACUGAAAAUUUCCGAACGGUUUGAGUUACGACUUCCGCUAGCACCUGACUCGCCCGGCAAUACUGACUUGAACCGGCUCCCGCUUUGAUGGAGUUGUACUGGCUCUGGCACAGGUUCAGGUACUGGUGAAAGCUCUGUCUCUUUCCUCGGUUCUCGCUUGAAGGAGCGCUUGACUAAAAAGCAAAGAGUUUAGCGUUUUUCUUCCCGUAACCGACUUGACUUUCUUCCUUGGGCUCGUUAAGGCUAAUGCUCAUGGUGGAAAAUCCCAUCAGAUGCAACCGUAGCAGGGCUUAUGGCAGGGACUGUUGCUGUUGUGUGAUUGCAGCACCCGAGAAGCACCCACGGUCUGACAUUUCACCACAAGGACCAAUCUUUUGUCACUCAUGCGGUCCAUUUUCGAUCAUGAUGGAGAUGGGAGAGUGAUGCUUUUAGUUUAAUCUCUACUACUGUGCCAUCAAUUUUGGCUUCCGAAACAUCACCAAGCCUGAUACCGAACAAGGCUCCCAUCACCCUCUUCCUGCAGCAAAGGUUCUUUGCUUGACAGCUUUGAAACGUCGUCCCCGACCCGCUUCCCUCGCGAGGUUUGGCUAUGCUCUAUAACUGGCUUCUCGGAGAAAGAAUGUAGCCGGCUUUGAAGCCGGAGAAUAGGAAUGAAUCUCAUAAUUCGUCUGGUGAGAAGAGGAAGUCUGGUUGUCAAUUACCACCCGAUACCCGACCGAGGAGAGCUGGAAAGAGAGGAAUUCCUCCUAUUCGUUUGCUUAGCCAAAUUACAAUGAUUCCGCUUCUCCGAGGAAUAAAGGAACCUAGCUAUUUUGAUUUGUCUUAUCCUUCGUUCCUAGCUUUGUCGGGUGCGCUCUCUCUGUCGAGCAGGUUAGAAAGGAAAUGACCUUACCUUCGCUCCGCUCUCGCUAAGUCGGAUUGGUUUGGAAGGCGAGUUGAUUAAUGAAAUGAAUUCCUCGGUUCCUCGGGUUGGUUGAAUUGCUUUGGCUUGCCUUCCUGCCUAACUAAAGAAAAGGAAAUUCUUUGGCUUGCGUGCCUACCUAGCUCGAGUUCCGCUAUUCGAGUGCCUAAGGUGAGUUUCCAAGGGGUUGGUUUCAAUUGGAGAUAUUCCUUUCAUAGCUACUAAGGUUAGAGAUAUUCCUCUUUUUAGGCAAGUCAAGGCUUGGUUAUCAAAACCUAAAGAAUUCGGGGCGUCAAGCCUCGAUACUGAAUUCAGUGUCCAAUCUACCGUCAAUCGACUUUCCUGCGCUUUCUAUUUAAGCUAACCCCCCAGGUGAAAUCUGGAGAUGGGCACCUAUUAUCAUAUGGAUCUGGCAUAUCGUCUGGGUACGCUGGUUCAUCAGGGGCUGGUUCAUCUGCUGAAUCUGGUCUGGUCGAAUCAAGUACUGGCUCUUCCUUCGCUUGGCACGCUUUCCAAGAAUUCCCCCAGGGGGAGUUGCUUUCCAAUAAACAUAUUCUUUCUCUUUCGCCUUCCGCUAAAAAAUCUUCUCCUUCACAUCACAGGGUGGGUUGCUUUCAAAAACCUUCUUCUCGCUGGUUGAAUCCUCGCUGAUCAAACUCUUCAAGGAGCCAAGUCUCAAAGCGAAGCCAGCACGGGUGUUGCCCCCGAAUCCAUUCAAGGGACUCCCAAACAUGUCAUUCUUACAGCUCUCCAAAACUGAAAAUCUUUGAUGGCUCAAGGCCCUGUGAUAGCCAGCCAAAACAUGAAUGCUUUGAAUAGUCUACUUAGAAUCGUAAAGGGCCUAGGAGAGGAGCCAAAGUUAUCUGCGGCAGAGAGAGCCAGGAUGCAGUCCUUCGAAGAAGAGGUACAUAUGGCAUUGGGGCAGUUCCUCAGCGCUGUUGAGAGCAAGAAUGCGAUUCAGUCCCAGAUCCAUACCUUAACUGAGAAGUCUGCCCAGGCUAAAGUAGUAGUGGAGAAAGGCGAGCAAAUAGAGAAGAAUCUCGACUCUGUGGAAGUCAAGAUUAACACCUUGAAGAGUCAGAUCACCAAGCUCCAAGAAGAACUGGCAGAUGCUGAGAAGCAGCGAGAGGAACUGACUCAAAGCUUUGAUUCUCUGAUGGCGGAGUCGGUGACGGUACGAAAUCGAUCGGAGAGGCUAUAUUUAGAGUAGGGAAAUGGUAUGCUUUUGUCGAAGAUUGCCGGGUAAAUGUCGGAGAAUAUCGGGUAUUCCUAACAUUGAUUUUUUCUAAGACUAGGGAAAAAAACCUUCGGUAAGCAUUCCUUUAGCAAGUAAUCCCUUGGGUACGAAACUACGCUAUUCAAAGCAUCGAGAAAUCAAAAUAGAAUGUUCAAAGUUAUCUCCUCUUCACUAGAUCUUACUUAUGUUAAAAAAUGGACUAGAAUCCCAGUUGAGGGACUUCUUUCCCUCUUCACCCUUCUCCUUCAGGGAAUUCGACCAACCAAGUCCGCCAUUCGGAGUUACCGAAGUUGGCUUGAUUGGUGAAACUAUCCCUUGGUUCUGGGCUCCUAGACCUUUCCUAGGUUUGUAGCCUUGUUGAAGCAUGAUCCUCCAUGCUUCAAUGUAUGGCUUGUAACCAUCGAGUCUAGGUUUGCUCCUCUUCCUUGACAUCUUGAGACAAGAUGCAAGGGUUGCAGGAUCUUCCUCUCUUCGGAUUACCUUAGGGGUUCCGAAAGGGUAGGACCGAGGAAAGUUUAUAUCGAGCACUGACACGCUCCUGGAAGGCGACAUCCCCAUGGUUUCGAGGGGCACAAACUGUCCACCUAUUUCUAUGGAAGGCAUAAAUCCCACGUUUUCACAAUCGGCGGUUAAUGCCGGCUGGACCUCGGCAGAUACUUUUAUGAUCGAUCCUUGAAAGGGGAAUUUUAAACAUUGAUGGUAGGUGGACGCAACUGCACCGGCCUCGUGCAGCCAGGGCCUUCCCAACAAGAGAUUGAAAGAAGUAACAAUGUCUAUUACGUGGAAGGCCGUGGUGAGCGUCAGGGGUCCUAAUGUUCGGUCGGUAACAACCUUUAGCUGCCCUUCUCGAGUUGUCAUAGGCAUUAACAAAUACGGGAGAAGGCAACAAAGUGUCCUGGAAUGCUGAGAGCACGAAGAGUGGAUCAGGGGUUUUUUCCUGUAUCGACCAAGACUCUGGAGACGGCGUGGUUACCGAUAGUUGCAGUGAUGUGGAAGGCCCUAAUGUGCGGGGAUGGCAUUCCUCCCGGAAGGUCAUCGUCAGAAAAGGAAAUGGACAUGGGAGCCGUAAGAGGCUAGUCCGUGCUCUCCUGUUCAAAAGUCCACGGACUUGCCUCUUUGUGUUCAAAAGCCUCACCGUUCGCUGAGCUCUUCGCCCCUGGCGGCUCGGCUGGGUUGGUUACGUGUGCCGUCUACUCUGCUUUAGUUGCGCUGACUGGUUCUCGCCGUGCCUGGUCAAAGCGCGGUUAGACUGCGGCGAUGUACAAUGUCUACAGACAGCAUUAAGGGCCUCCCUCCGCUAGGCAAGCUGACUACUACUGAAUGUGAAUGGCCGACUUGGUAUUCGUAUUCUCAAUCGGCGAGGCCUCGAUACCCACAGACAGUUGAGAGACCUACAGUUGAAGGUAGGCCCGAAGGGGCGAUUCCUAGAGGCUAUUCCUAGGGGUUAUAUUCCCGCUUCAGUCAAUCGGAAAGACAAAACAAGGGAAAUUGUCUCAGGGGAGCACCCUUUCCAGUCCGGGUAAUGCAGAAACCUUUCCGGCGCCUCAUCAACAAGAAAAGGCACAGGAAGCGGAGCCGCUGGGAGUGGGAGACGUUUCGAGGAGUGCUUUAGCACUCGCUCACUCUACAAGUUCGGUUGUUUCAGUCAUAAGGGGGGAUCUUCCAGCUUAAGGCGCAGAGAGGAAAGCGGUAGGGUAGUAGGUUGUUUUAAGGAGACUACCCGAGGAAGAUUUAUAGUCAAAUCCAGUCUUUCUGACAAGCUAGGGUCCGUCUCUGCAGCCAGAAGUGGUGGGGCAACCGAUCAUUCGUGAUUGAAUCGAGUAGUUGAGUCUAUCGCGGAGGAAUUCAUUCAUGGAUUGGCGGGCGCACAAACAAACGACUAUGGAAACAGAUUCGAUUCCUAUCUAUUAGUCGUAGUUGAGUCGGAAGAUAUCCGCUUGACGCUUCCUCCCCGGGGCCCCCGGAGGGGAAUUAAGGAACAACAAAAGAAUCUUCUUGCGUUCUCUUUCCUCGCCCUUUAUUUAUUUGUCAGUCACUUUCUCUGUCGAAAUGCUUUCCGUAGCUCACGCCGAGUCCAUUCCAGUUUGGGAUCAGAAUCCGCCACUCACUCCAAAGAGAAAGCGGACGAUUCUCUCUUCUUUUUCAUGAAGCAAGAACUCUGAACUAAGCCUUAGGGUAGCGAGUGCACUACUAGUCGUAAGGCGGGAACGGUAUAACAGUAGCUACGGUAGCUCAGGCUGUACGGAUCGGAUUGCAGCUAUUUCUGAAGGAGCUUUUACUUUUAAGCCACUCAGCAGCCGUUAGGCCUAAAAAUCGUUCAGUAUAGUAUCGCUACGCCCCUUUCCUGCUUGCCUUGAACUACUGCACUUGCGUAUGUAUACCUUUUCUAUCAUUUUUGGAUAGGAAAGUUAUCGUAUAAGU
rnacentral:lncRNA from 1 species